rnacentral:rRNA from 1 species
AACCUGAGAGUUUGAUCCUGGCUCAGAACGAACGCUGGCGGCAUGCCUAACACAUGCAAGUCGAACGAAGGCUUCGGCCUUAGUGGCGCACGGGUGAGUAACACGUGGGAACCUGCCUUAUGGUUCGGGAUAACGUCUGGAAACGGACGCUAACACCGGAUGUGCCCUUCGGGGGAAAGUUUACGCCAUGAGAGGGGCCCGCGUCCGAUU